GGGAAACCCAGCGGAGGCGGAACCCAGCGGAGGCCGAACGCCGCGGAAAAUAAUGACGUGAUAAACUUACCUCUUUUGGUUUUGGAAUGUCCUAUUCGCAAAGGAACGACAAAGAAUGGAUUCUUGGGGCUUCCCUAGUGGCGCAGUGGUUGAGAAUCUGCCUGCCAAUGCCGGG